rnacentral:rRNA from 1 species
GACGAACGCUGGCGGCGUGCCUAAUACAUGCAAGUUGAGCGCUGAAGGUUGGUACUUGUACCAACUGGAUGAGCAGCGAACGGGUGAGUAACGCGUGGGGAAUCUGCCUUUGAGCGGGGGACAACAUUUGGAAACGAAUGCUAAUACCGCAUAAAAACUUUAAACACAAGUUUUAAGUUUGAAAGAUGCAAUUGCAUCACUCAAAGAUGAUCCCGCGUUGUAUUAGCUAGUUGGUGAGGUAAAGGCUCACCAAGGCGAUGAUACAUAGCCGACCUGAGAGGGUGAUCGGCCACAUUCGGACUGAGACACGGCCCAAACUCCUACGGGAGGCAGCAGUAGGGAAUCUUCGGCAAUGGACGAAAGUCUGACCGAGCAACGCCGCGUGAGUGAAGAAGGUUUUCGGAUCGUAAAACUCUGUUGGUAGAGAAGAACGUUGGUGAGAGUGGAAAGCUCAUCAAGUGACGGUAACUACCCAGAAAGGGACGGCUAACUACGUG